GCACGGUGGCCAGGGGACACACAGUGACCAGAGGUCAGUGGGAACGAGGACGUUUCCCCGGCAGCCAUGGCUCUGCUUUGGCUGAUUCCUUGUCCAUGGUGACUUUAAUGUGUUUUUUUUUGGUACCGGAGAUCGAACUCAGGACCUUGAGCUUUCAAGACAGGCACCGGAACCACUGAGCUAAAUCCCUAGCUCCACGGUGACUUUAAACCUGGCUGCAAGAAACAAUGCGAAGCUACCAUCUUUGGCAAUGAAUUUCCUUGGUGGGAAGCUGUUCUAUUCCUUUACAAAUUGAAUUAUAAUGUGGCCUUCUAGAAACUACGUCUGGGGGAGCAGCUGCUUGAAAUUAAGAGUGUAAACAAAGACGCACAGAAGCUGCAAGUUGGAGACCCUGGGCUGCCACCAGCCUGCUGGCCCCUCCUCUCAGUGGUUCCUCUGUGGCACUGUCAGGUGCCUCUGUCCCCUGACUGAAUGCUUCCAGUCACGCAGCGCUCACCCCAGGAGUCCGACUCAAGGCUCAGGUCUGAGCAGAGCUCUCUUAGCCCGAAUCUUCCCCCCGGAAUGGCGCCUGGUGGCCGUGGAGCUGGACUCCACGCAGAGGUGACAAGCCUCUCUCCUUGCAAAGACCCUUACUGCAGGGUGCCUGAGCAGGCUCAUCCCCACAUCGCAUCUCUUUCAGGGAAGUGGCUCCCACCCCAUCCUGGACACUUGUUUCAGGGCAGCUCUUUCGUGCAGCAUCUAUGUCUGAACUCGCACAUCCAGGAGUCCUGAGCAGGCCAGCAGGGGCCCUGCAACCGGGACUCUGGUCUCCGUCAACAUGUUCUGCUACAUUUUGCCAGCUUCCGCUCAUUCUCCACGAACAUCCACACUUCACGUCAUCAGCUCCAGCAAGUCUCCCAAGUCCAGGCCCUUUUAAAAUGAUUCUGCAGGAAGAUAUCUCACUCCUUAUUGGCUGCAAAGGUCCAUAAGGUGUCUGCCCUCCUGGGUGACCGACAUCCGGCCAGGAAUGCAGCAGCCCUGGGGAGAGGAAGUGGCAUUUCUGGGUCAUGCCUUCCUGGAGGCCAUGCCGACCACUAACAUGUUCCCUGACAUGCUGUGCUUAACCAUGUACAUGUUAAACUGGCAUCAUCCUUGGUGUGCUGUUGCUGAAACCUAUUUUCCUCCAUUUUGAAAAUCUCCGGCUUUGGCAGUUUCUGGUCACUGGGUAAUCUCACUGAAGAAAGAUAACUCAAGAACCCUAAGAGAAUUCAGGAGCAACGGGGGAUUCAAAAUACCCCUUAUUCCUCCAGGUGUUCACAAGUCGGCUCCUGCCACAGACUCCCAAGUGCUGGGACUGCAGGGUUAGACACCACACAGCUUCCCUACUGCCUCAGGCACAGACUCUGAAAGCUUGGCACUGCAGUGGAAGCCAGUCACCCUGGGCCAGCGUGUCCCCUCUGGGCGGCCAGAUGUCUCUGUCCUCUGCUCCUCCACUGCAGAGUCCUCUUGCUGCAGCCCGCUGGGCUGGAGCCCGCUCUCUCUAGCCCACUCUCCCAGAGUGCCUUUCCCGGCCCCUAGUCUGCAGCCAGUAUCCUGGCUGUCCUCAGUGUUUGCACCUUCCUCUCCUGAGUCCCCGCUUCACACGGUGUCCACACUCUCAGCAAUGGCAGAACUCAUGGCAACAGAGAGGAAUAAACAGCUCGUUCCUAUUGCGAGCUGGUAGAUUCUUCACACCUGAUAUUUCAGGCUUAUGGACGUCGAUGUUCAGAAGUACAUCCCCUGAGGGGCUCAGAAUGUCAGCACUUGGGGAGGCUGAGGCAGGAAGGUCCAAGGCCAGCCUGGGCUACAUAAUGAGUUCAAGACCAGCUUGGACUACCUAGCCAGACCCUGCCUCAAAAACAAAACUAGAAGUACACCCUCAUGUUAAUCUCUUUGAAAUCAACCUGUGAGGAUGAGAUAUUUUAAUAAGGUUUUUGCUUUCCUAAUGGUAUAUAAAGGU
ensembl:lncRNA